ACAUGCAGAGAACUUUCCAGAGAUGGAUUGGUGCCUUCGGGAACUCUGACACAGGUGCUGCAUGGCUGUCGUCAGCUCGCGUCGUGAGAUGUUGGGUUAAGUCCGUAACGAGCGCAACCCUUGUCCUUAGUUACCAGCACGUUAUGGUGGGCACUCUAAGGAGACUGCCGGUGACAAACCGGAGGAAAGGUGGGGAUGACGUCAAGUCAUCAUGGCCCUUACGGCCUGGGCUACACACGUGCUACAAUGGUCGGUACAAAGGGUUGCCAAGCCGCGAGGUGGAGCUAAUCCCAUAAAACCGAUCGUAGUCCGGACCGCAGUCUGCAACUCGACUGCGUGAAGUCGGAAUCGCUAGUAAUCGUGAAUCAGAAUGUCACGGUGAAUACGUUCCCGGGCCUU
rnacentral:rRNA from 1 species